AUUUGGGUCACAUGAAAUGCAUACCCGUAUUUAGAAAGGUAAAAUUAUUAAAGGAUGCGCCUAAGGCGACUAACGUAUUGUUAACUUCGCGGGAGACCGUGAAAGUUCGCUAAACGGCUCGUCCCAAGUUAUACGUAUUUUAGUAUAAAAAUUAAAGAGGGCCACGCAAUUUGUGAGUUUUAUUUGGCGCGGCGCACUUCAUUUUAUUUUUAGAAGGCCAACCUAGAGCAAACUAUUAUUUUCUAUUGAAUUUGUCUCUAAUAGCCCUAAUUAAUUAGCAUUAUAAAAUUCAAACCUCCGGUUCAAGUCCAAAUUUAAACAAAAGGGAAAUAUCUUAAUUCAAAUUCGCUACUUAACUCAGAAGGCCCCCCAAAGUUGUGUUACAAAAUUAACUUCAAUGGGGAAGAAAUAUUAUUUAAUAUAUAUGGCAACAUGGGCUUCUUAAUAUGUGACCAGGAAAUAACAACAGGGAAAUUGGGUUUCCCUUGAGACAGUUUUCAGAAUUAAACUAUCUUAAGCCACAUUGCAAUGGCAGAUGAUGCAGACGAGAGAGUUAGUAGCUGGGCUUGAAUAAGGAAUUAGUUGUUAUUACACACAUUAAACGGAGCAACGAAUUUAACUUUGGCAUGCAUCAGUGAUUCAAAUUGACCAUGGCUAAGCGAGUUGUACUAUUGGUAGCAAAAUUGAUUGGCAUAAUAUUUGCAGUUAAAAUGUCAAUCACAUCAUAUUUGUUAGCAUCCUGAUCAGUACAUAAUUGUAUGAAAUUGAACUAGUCCUAACGUCUGAAUUACAGGCUAUGGGAUAACUCAUAGAUUGUUUAUAAAUCGCAAUGGCGUCAUGAGAUGCAGCAAUCAGAUUCAUUAUAGAUUACAACCGUUGAUAGAGAUAGAAACAUGUAGCUAGAGCCUUAAAGAACUAUAGAUUCAACUAUUUGAAUCAUAGCUUCCGACAGACUCGUAUUUUAUACAGUCAAACAAAACCUGGAAGUGAAUUAAUCAUGAAUCUGAAAUCCUAUUAUGACAAUUUGAAUCUAACUUCUAAUUGCGAUGUCCAUGGGAUCAGGAUGAAGAGACACAAUUAGUUCAAAAGUCUUAGACAGUCCCAAACAGUCCGGUUCUCAAUUUCAAAUGAAGAUCUAUUGAAAAAUAUGAAAAAUCCUAAGGAUACAACAGUGAAGAUCAAUAAGAAAAAAAAAACAGCAAUUUCCUUUACUUCCAAACUUGAGAAUGACAUGAAGCGUACCUGGAAUUUGAACAAAAUGAGAGAAAGGUGAAUGUCAGUUAAGGAGCAACAUACACAACAACACAAGCAAGUGUAAACUCAGCAGAAAACACAGCAAUUCCAGAUUAUAACCCAGGGGGUGAGGAUAGAUGUAGCAGGCUUCAAAAUGACUUCAAAUAACCAAGUAAACCAACUGAAGUUGAAAAGCAGGCCUGGAUGAACUACUACAAUUGGAAAUCAGCAGAUUUGGAGGAAUUUUGUAUCAUUUUCGUAUUGAUUUUAGGAUUUGGCUUCCAUGAUCUAAUUUGUAGCUAAGCUAUCUAUUUCUACAAGAACUAUUUUGAAUUUUCAGUGGUUUUGGGUCUGAUGUUUUGGUUUUUUUUUUUUGAGUUUUUCUCUCUAGACCUCUAAGAGCUGAUUUAAACUUCUUAUUUUCGAAAUUUUGUAUCUCGAGAUUUCUAGAACCUUCUGGGGAUUUUUCCGAUUAAAAAAACUUCUUUAACAAGGCAAUAAGCAUGCCUUUUAAUAAGCAAAGCCUAGGGCAGCAUUCAGAUUGUUAUUUACACAUUUUGUCCCUUAUUUAUUUUUUAUUUUACUCAAUUAGUCCCUUAUUUUCUGACUUGUUACUCAAAUUACUACAUUAAAGUCCGAAAAUUCUGAUUGGAACCCCAUCUGGAAUGUUCUAUGAGUUUCCAAAUGAGUUAAAUGCAAGAUUCCUCUCUUUGAAAUGUCCAACUUACCCUUUUAUUCAACUGACAUUACCAAAUCAACCAAACUAACUCUCAAAAACUAGUUAUCCUUAGUUUUAAACUAAUCAAGGUUAAUCGAUCAAAGGUUAGCCUAAUCAGCUAUAUCCAAACCAAUCUAAAACCAGAUUAACUAAUCAUAUUAAUUCUAAUUAACCUAGGAUAAUCAAUGAACUAACAAUUAGCACUAAACGAACAAGAUUACAAUCAGAUUAGCAGGAAACUCUAAAGAUUAACUAGUUGAAUACAAAAUCAAAUAAACCAAACAAUCAAAGCAAAACAGAAUAGAAAGUAAAGCAAAAAAAUAGAAACAAAAGAGACUCAAGGGAACAAGAACUAAUUAAAGCCCUAAAAAUUCUAAAACAAGCAACAAGGAGAACCAUUGAUCAAGCAGGGAUAUGACAUUCAAAAAUGAAAUGAACAAAGGAAGAGAAAUCACUGACUUCGAUCUGACUUUGAGUUUUGAAAACUCAAACGAUGCCAUCGACACUUGAACACCUGAGCUGGGCCAAAAUUCCUUCAGACCUCGAGUUUGAACCCUAAACUCCGAGAUUCAAAAGAUUCUUGCUGGAUUUAAAAGGAAUUUAUUCGGGUAGGGGAAGAUAGGGUCAAGGUAAAUCUAGGGUGUAUGUUUGGUGGUGUUUGGGUGGCGCCGCCGCCAUCGGAAGCUAAAGGUGGUGGCUAGGGUUAGGAGAUUUGGGGCGUUUCAGUGGGUUUUGAGAGAAAAUAAAAGUAGACUGACGAUGAGGAGACGAAGACGAAGCCCUGGUGCGGAUUUGGGUUUGUCCGUCGAGUUAGGGUUUUGGGGGUCGAGACUUUGAUUUGAUAUUCGAAGGAUUCGGCAAGGAUACGAAGGAAACUAAAGGUGGAUUUGGAAAAAGGGGAACAAGGGGAGGCUAUUGUGUAAAUUUGGGUGUCAUCGGAAACCGGAUGCCGCCGUAGGCGACUUCCGGGGGUGGCAAGUGGCGGAGGGCGAUGGCCUGAGAGUCUCUAGGUCAGAGAUGAGAGAGAUGAGGGGGGUGGGGGGAUCUGAGGGGGUAGGGUCCGUUUGGACACUAAUAUACUAAGGCAUGGGGGCUUCUCAAACGUCGGAUUAUUAAACCUAGACGGUUGAGAUUAAAACUCUACUAAACGACGCCGUUUUGGGACGGGGCAGCUGGACAGGUUUUGG
rnacentral:lncRNA from 1 species